AUUGAACGCUGGCGGCAGGCCUAACACAUGCAAGUCGAACGGUAACAGGAAGCAGCUUGCUGCUUUGCUGACGAGUGGCGGACGGGUGAGUAAUGUCUGGGAAACUGCCUGAUGGAGGGGGAUAACUACUGGAAACGGUAGCUAAUACCGCAUAACGUCGCAAGACCAAAGAGGGGGACCUUCGGGCCUCUUGCCAUCAGAUGUGCCCAGAUGGGAUUAGCUUGUUGGUGGGGUAACGGCUCACCAAGGCGACGAUCCCUAGCUGGUCUGAGAGGAUGACCAGCCACACUGGAACUGAGACACGGUCCAGACUCCUACGGGAGGCAGCAGUGGGGAAUAUUGCACAAUGGGCGCAAGCCUGAUGCAGCCAUGCCGCGUGUAUGAAGAAGGCCUUCGGGUUGUAAAGUACUUUCAGCGGGGAGGAAGGUGCUGUGGUUAAUAACCGCAGCAAUUGACGUUACCCGCAGAAGAAGCACCGGCUAACUCCGUGCCAGCAGCCGCGGUAAUACGGAGGGUGCAAGCGUUAAUCGGAAUUACUGGGCGUAAAGCGCACGCAGGCGGUCUGUUAAGUCAGAUGUGAAAUCCCCGGGCUCAACCUGGGAACUGCAUCUGAUACUGGCAGGCUUGAGUCUCGUAGAGGGGGGUAGAAUUCCAGGUGUAGCGGUGAAAUGCGUAGAGAUCUGGAGGAAUACCGGUGGCGAAGGCGGCCCCCUGGACGAAGACUGACGCUCAGGUGCGAAAGCGUGGGGAGCAAACAGG
rnacentral:rRNA from 1 species